UACGUAGGGUCCGAGCGUUGUCCGGAAUUACUGGGCGUAAAGAGCUCGUAGGUGGUUUGUCGCGUUGUUCGUGAAAACUCACAGCUCAACUGUGGGCGUGCGGGCGAUACGGGCAGACUGGAGUACUGCAGGGGAGACUGGAAUUCCUGGUGUAGCGGUGGAAUGCGCAGAUAUCAGGAGGAACACCGGUGGCGAAGGCGGGGUCUCUGGGCAGUAACUGACGCUGAGGAGCGAAAAGCGUGGGGGAGCGAACAGG
rnacentral:rRNA from 1 species